rnacentral:lncRNA from 1 species
UCAUAGUCGACUAGACCCUGCUGGGUCGAUUUGCCGUGGAGAGCUGGGGAUCCGUAGAUGUCAGGAGCCGUGCGCAUUUAUUGUGGAGUAAGUCAGAGAUCCGCAUUUAUUAUGGAGUAAGCCGGAGAUCCGCAUUAAUGGUGGAGUAAGCCGGAGAUCCGCAUUUAUUAUGGAGUAAGCCGGAGAUCCGCAUUUAUUGUUGAGUGUGUCGGAAGAUUACAGCGGCCAUGCGCAAUAAAUGCCGGAGGGGUGUUAGAGUACGGUCCUCGGACAUCGGGGUUUCUCUUAGGUCGGAGGUUUCGGGGUCGGUCGUCUUGUGGCCGAGCGUUCCGAGGUCGGACGCUGACUUCGGCUGUCCGGGGUCGGAGGUUGUACGGCUUCUUAGGGGCAUUUAUGUCAUUUUGGGGGAAACUUUAUUCCCCCCAACAG